UCCCUGGUGGUUCACUGGUUAGGACAUAGCACUCUCACUGCCAAGGGUAAGGGUUCAACCCCUGGUCUGGGAA
rnacentral:tRNA from 1 species